AUUUAUUAAUAAGUUGAAUAAAGAUAUUAAUAUUUGUAGGGGGGAUUUACUAAGUUAAAUCAAGAUUUAUCUUUUAGGGCAAGGUACCCCCCAAAAACGGCGUAAAAAAGUGGUUUUUUGGGCGAUUUUGGGGCGAAACGGGGAUUUUAGAGGGCGAAAUAGGAAUUUAGGGAUUUUUAGGGGGUAGAAUAGCAAUUUUUAGAUUUAGGAUAGCGAUUUUCGGGAUGUAAAAACGAUUUUGUGAUGUGAGGAACGAUUUUUUGAUUUUUGCAGCGCGCGGUUUCAGAAUUCUGGUUUGUAGCGUAGAGGUAGAUGUUGAUUUUCUGAUUUUGGGGUUGUGAUUUCAGAAAACUGAUUUUUGGGAUCGGGCUUUCUGUUUUUCUGAAAAUUGAUUUUUGAGUUGUGCACACGAUUUUUGAAUUUCUGGAUUCGGGGUUUCUGUUUUUCUGAAAAUCAGUUUUUCGGUUGUUGCAUACGAUUUUUGAUUUUUGGAAUCAGGCUGUCUGUUUUUCUGAAAAUUGAUUUUUGAGUUGUUGGACACGAUUUUUGAUUUUCUGGAUUCGGGGUUUCUGUUUUUCUGGAAAUUGAUUUUUGAGUUGUUGCACACGAUUUUUGAUUUCUGGGAUCGGGAUGUCUGUUUUUCUGAAACGUGAUUUUUGGGUGGUUACACACGAUUUUUGAUUUUCUGGGAUCGGGGUUUCUGUUUUUCUGAAAAUUGAUUUUUGAGAUGUUGGACACGAUUUUUGAUUUUUGGAAUCGCGCUUUCUGAUUUUCUGAAAAUUGAUUUUUGAGUUGUGCACACGAUUUUUGAUUUUCUGGAUUCGGGGUUUCUGUUUUUCUGGAAAUUGAUUUUUGAGUUGUUGCAUACGAUUUUUGAUUUUUGGAAUCGGGAGGUCUGUUUUUCUGAAACGUGAUUUUUGGGUGGUUACACACGAUUUUUGAUUUCUGAGAUCAGAUUGUCUGUUUUUCUGAAAAUUCAUUUGGGAGUUGUUGCACACGAUUUUUGAUUUUUGGAAUCGGGGUGUCUGUUUUUCUGAAAAUCAGUUUGUCGAUGGUUGCACACGAUUUUUGAUUUUCUGGGAUCGGGGUUUCUGUUUUUCUGAAAAUCAGUUUUUCGGUUGUUGCACACGAUUUUUGAUUUUUGGAAUCGGGGUGUCUGUUUUUAUGAAAAUUGAUUUCUCGGUUGUUGCACACAAUUUUCUGAUUUUUGUGAUCAGCAUGGCUGAUUUUCUGAAAACCGGUUUUUCGGUUGUUGCACACGAUAUUUUGAUUUUUGGAAUCAGGCUGUCUGUUUUUCUGAAAAUUGAUUUCUGAGUUGUUGCACACGAUUUUUGAUUUUUGGGAUGGCGAUGUCUGUUUUUCUGAAAAUCGGUUUCUCGGUUGUUGAUCACGAUUUCUGGUUUUUUGAGGUCAGGGUGACGGUUUUUCUGAAAAUCAAUUUCUGAGCUAUCGCACACGAUAUGUGCGUUUUCGAGAUCGUGGUGCCUGUUUUCCAGAAAAUCGAUUUUUCGCCUGUCACGCACGAUUUCUGAUUUUUUGAGAUCGUGCUACCUGUUUUUUCCAAAAAUCAGCGUCUCUCGAUUUUCAGAAAAUUGAUUUUCGGGUAGGGCGCACGAUUUUUUUCAUUUUGUCAGAAAACAGACAUCUGACAGUCAAAUUUCCAAUUUUUUGAUUUGCAGAAUUGAUCUGUAAACGCGAUUUUCCAAAAUUCAUAUUCCGAUUCUGAAUGCCGCUCUCAGUUUCCCGGAAAUUGUGUUUUUGUAGGUCGUGUAGCGUAGCAUAGAAUAGGAAAUCAAAGAUAUUUCAGGUUUCUGAUUUGGAAAGCUCGGCAAAUACAAUUUUUUGAUACACACCUCGUCCCACGAUUGGAUCAGGCCCUCAGUCCUCCAAAAUCAUGAUUUUUUCAUAUUUCUGGGAUGCAUUGCUGUUUCCACACAACAUUUUCAACAUGCUUCUUAUUUUCGAAAAUGCAAUCUUCGAUUUUCAUCGCGGCCGACACAAUUUUCUGAUUUUCCGGUUGCUGUCACUGCAAAUCAAUUGAAAACCGUGUUCUGGGUCUGGAAACGUCAAUUUUCAGUUUUUGCACACCAUUUUGAAAGCGCCGUACAAAAUAGGCCACAGGAUUUUUUUUUCUAUGAUCUCAUUUCUGAUUUUCGAGCAAAUUGCAGAAAUUGCGCUCACAACACAGAAAUUUCGACCAGGAAAUGAGUUUUUCAGAAUUUACACCUGGUUUUUUGUACUCGCACCCCAAAAACUGUUCUGUCCGUGAUUUUCAUGACGAAUUUGUGGUUUUUUGAAUUUUUCGCAUCUCGUCAAAAAUCAGAUUCACCUCACCACCACCAUAUUUCAGAUCAGCCCGAUCCAUAAAUCAUAUCACCAUACCCCAAAAUUCCAAACUUUUCGGUAAUGUUGCUCGAAUUCUGAGAAUCGGAUCCUGACGACCACAAUUUUCGAGAUCUCAACAUUUUUCGAUGCACCAAAAAAUGCAUUUUCACCGAUUCUAGUCGUUUUCUCACAAAAAUUGAUUUUUCAAUCCUCAAAAGUGGAUUUUCGCACCAUUCAUUUUUGU
rnacentral:rRNA from 1 species